rnacentral:rRNA from 1 species
UACGGAGGUCUCAAGCGUUGUUCGGAUUCAUUGGGCGUAAAGGGUGUGUAGGUGGCGCCGUAAGUCGGGUGUGAAAUUUCGGAGCUUAACUCCGAAACUGCAUUCGAUACUGCCGUGCUUGAGGACUGGAGAGGAGACUGGAAUUUACGGUGUAGCGGUGAAAUGCGUAGAUAUCGUAAGGAAGACCAGCGGCGAAGGCGGGUCUCUGGACAGUACCUGACGCUGAGGCACGAAGGCCAGGGGAGCAAACGGG